rnacentral:tRNA from 1 species
AGGCGCGUAGCUCAGUGGGAGAGCGCUUCCCUGACACGGAAGAGGUCGGCGGUUCGAAACCGCCCGUGCCUACCA